rnacentral:lncRNA from 1 species
GAGUUGGACUGGGCUACUAUUAGUAGCAAAAUUUCAUUGUUGCUACCAAUUUUUUAGCCUUUGGAUCAACUCUUUUCAUUAUUUCUAACCAUUGGAUUAAAUACUAUAACCCAGAAGGGACCACUCAACCCUAGGGGGACCACUCAACUCUAACCGACUAAUAUCAUCCUCACCCUACAAUUUUUCAUCCAAAGGUUAAAAACUUGAUAGCAAAAAAGAGCAUUUUACUAUUAAUAGUAUUCCAGCCUAAUUAUAUAUAUAUAUAUAUAUAGUCCAACUAUUAUACUAUCUAUAGUACAAAUCGUUUUGUGCUAUCGAGUUUUUUGCCGUUAGAUCUACCUAUAUAUAUAGAGUCUGACUACUAUACUAUCAAUAGUACCAAGCAUUUGGUGCUAUCGAGUUUUCUGCCGUUAGAUCU